AACCCUAACCCUCCCUAUCUGCUACCCAUACUCAGGAAAAAAGAAAGAAACGUAGGGGAAGAGAGGAAAAAAGAAGAGGACGGAGGAGAAGAAAAGAGGGAAGACGGCGCCGGUGGGAAUCAUUGCCGCCACACCGUUGAGUCGCACACAGGAGGGAGGCCGAGGGAGAGCAGCACUAGGAGAGAGGGAGACGCGAGCCAACGUUGAGAGGAAGAAGACGCCGCCGAGUGUUGAGGUCAUUGUCGCCGUUGUGGAGCUGUCCCGUUGGCGCUAUCAUCGAGCACGAAUCGAAGAGAGGGAAGACGCGUGAGAAGAGGCACGGUUCUUGCGUCGUCGUGCUUCUGUCACUGAAUCUCACCCUAUUGCCGCCGUUCGGUCGUCAUCGCGAGUGGCAUCGUAGUCGUUGUCGAGUUCAGCAGCCGCUGUUGCAAUGGUGAAGGCCUAGGGAGAGAGAGGCGAACCAGGAGUGGAGAGAGAGGAGACGCCGCCGUGCUGCGCGAAGCCACCACCGCCAUCGCGCGCUCCAUCAUCGCUCUAGAGAUGUGGUUGCCAAGCCUCUAACUGCCGGAGAACGGCGGUAUUGUCACCGAGAUCCACUACCGGUAAGGGUGUUCUUACUUCUAGUUUCCGUUAUUUUGAAUUCUUGGAACGUUGUUGUCACUGCAUGGUUGUUACGGCCACCGUCAUCAAGUUGCAUACAGUUAUCAAAACCAUUCCUUACCAACGCCAUUGCUGCCGAACCGCCGGAGCUCUGUCGCCAUUCUUCUUGCCAGAAAAGUAUCAGCAGCAUCAUUGCCUUGUUUCCUUUGGUAAAAAUGAUUAUUUGGCUCUUUUUUGUUUACCGCAAUACUCUAUUACUAAUUCUAUUCUAAUUCUGCUUAAUAUCAAUCCCACAUUAAAUCCAAA